rnacentral:rRNA from 1 species
GAUGAACGCUGGCGGCGUGCCUAAUACAUGCAAGUCGAACGAAACUUCUUUAUCACCGAGUGCUUGCACUCACCGAUAAAGAGUUGAGUGGCGAACGGGUGAGUAACACGUGGGCAGCCUGCGCAAAAGAGGGGGAUAACACUUGGAAACAGGUGCUAAUACCGCAUAACCAUAGUUACCGCUUGGUAACUAUGUAAAAGGUGGCUAUACUACCGCUUUUGGAUGGGCCCGCGGCGCAUUAGCUAGUUGGUAGGGUAAAGGCUUACCAAGGCAAUGAUGCGUAGCCGAAUUGAGAGGUUGAUCGGCCACAUUGGGACUGAGACACGGCCCAAACUCCUACGGGAGGCAGCAGUAGGGAAUCUUCCACAAUGGGCGAAAGCCUGAUGGAGCAACGCCGCGUGGGUGAAGAAGGUCUUCGGAUCGUAAAACCCUGUUGUUAGGGAAGAAAGUGCGUGAGAGUAACUGUUCACGUUUCGACGGUAUCUAACCAGAAAGCCACGGCUAACUACGUG